GGCUGGUCUGAAAGUAGUGAGUUAUCUCGAUUGACUGUUCGGAGUCAGUCCUUGUUCUACCCUUUCCCCACUUCUCACUACUGUACUUGGCUAAUCUCAA
rnacentral:Y_RNA from 1 species